GGUUCCAUAAUGUAGUGGUUAACAUGUCUGCUUUAAAUGCAGAAAGUCCUGGGUUCGUGCCCCAGGUGGAGCCA
rnacentral:tRNA from 1 species